UUCGACCAUAUCAUGCUGAAACACUGGUCCUUGUCGGAUUAUCGAAGUUAAGCAGUGUCGAGCCUGGUCAGUACCUUGUUGAGUGACCACUUGGGAAUAUC